UAAGACAGAGGGUGCAAACGUUGUUCGGAAUUACUGGGCGUAAAGCGCGUGUAGGCGGCUUGGCAAGUCGGGUGUGAAAGCCCUGGGCUCAACCUAGGAAGUGCACUCGAAACUGCUUCGCUUGAGUAUCGGAGAGGAAAGCGGAAUUCUCGGUGUAGAGGUGAAAUUCGUAGAUAUCGAGAGGAACACCGGUGGCGAAGGCGGCUUUCUGGACGGUUACUGACGCUGAGACGCGAAAGCGUGGGGAGCAAACAGGAUUAGAUACCCUGGUAGUCCACGCCGUAAACGAUGGGUGCUAGGUGUCGCGGGCUUUGACUCCUGCGGUGCCGUAGCUAACGCAUUAAGCACCCCGCCUGGGGAGUACGGCCGCAAGGCUA
rnacentral:rRNA from 1 species